rnacentral:rRNA from 1 species
AACCAGCACCUCAAGUGGUCAGGAUGAUUAUUGGGCCUAAAGCAUCCGUAGCCGGCUCUGUAAGUUUUCGGUUAAAUCUGUACGCUUAACGUACAGGCUGCCGGGAAUACUGCAGAGCUAGGGAGUGGGAGAGGUAGACGGUACUCGGUAGGAAGUGGUAAAAUGCUUUGAUCUAUCGAUGACCACCUGUGGCGAAGGCGGUCUACCAGAACACGUCCGACGGUGAGGGAUGAAAGCUGGGGGAGCAAACCGGAUUAGAUACCCGGGUAGUCCCAGCUGUAAACUAUGCAAACUCAGUGAUGCAUUGGCUUGUGGCCAAUGCAGUGCUGCAGGGAAGCCGUUAAGUUUGCCGCC